UGGUCUGCAACCCGACCACACGAAGCUGGAAUCGCUAGUAAUCGUGAAUCAGAAUGUCACGGUGAAUACGUUCCCGGGUCUUGUACACACCGCCCGUCACACCAUGGGAGUCAGCAACGCCCGAAGUCAGUGACCUAACCGAGAGGGAGGAGCUGCCGAAGGCGGGGCCGGUAACUGGGGUGAAGUCGUAACAAGGUAAC
rnacentral:rRNA from 1 species